GUGCCUGUGCGUCAGUGUACUAUAUACUGAAGCUAGCGACCCAUGUGCGACUAUGAAAUGUUCUCCAGGAAAAACUUGUCGUUUAAUGGAGGUUUCCUGCUUUACAUCCCCAUGUCCACCAUCACCAACAUGUGUUGACUCCGCCAUCCCUACAACUCAAGGUGCUUGUAAAAUAAAUCUACCAGUCAUAAACGCUGACAGCAAACAGUUGUUUUGUGGACGCGGACCAUCACGUGUUCGAUGCCCAGACGGGACCUCUUGCGCCGUCCACCC